GUGGGGCAGAGAUUCCAGUCGGAGAAAGAGAGAAGAAGGGAGGGAGAGAGACCAGAUCUACUUAGACUUCAUCAAGGGAAGUUUGAGUCGCAAGACUGAGGUCCCAGUUAUGCUGGUGCGCCCUGAAUAUGAGAUUUGGACAUCGGACUAUGACCUAUGGACUGAAUUCUAAAGGAACUCUUCGCAUCUAUAAAGCUCACCAUCUCUGCUGUGAAUCGAACCUCAAUGAAUUGAACUCACGUCUGUCUGAAAUGGCAGCUCCUUCCAUGAUGGAGCUUCUGUCUCUCUGGAGUUCUCCAGAAGCUGUGGUCUGCUCAUCCCCCACCCCGUUCACUAAAGCAACCUGCUGCUCCAAAGAUGCAGGCUCCUGACAUUUGAGCCAGAAAGGAAUCCCUGUCAUACGUAACAGAAAUAUUGUUACUUAAAAGACAGAUUUUGCUUUUUAUUUUAUUUAUUUAUUUGUUUAUAUUUUGGUGCAAUGCACUCGCAGGAGAAUAAAAUU